rnacentral:rRNA from 1 species
AAGAUGGCGACCGGCGCACGGGUGAGUAACACGUAUCCAACCUGCCGAUAACUCCGGAAUAGCCUUUCGAAAGAAAGAUUAAUACCGGAUAGUAUACGAAUAUCGCAUGAUAUUUUUAUUAAAGAAUUUCGGUUAUCGAUGGGGAUGCGUUCCAUUAGUUUGUUGGUGGGGUAACGGCCCACCAAGCCUUCGAUGGAUAGGGGUUCUGAGAGGGAGGUCCCCCACAUUGGAACUGAGACAUGGUCCAA